rnacentral:misc_RNA from 1 species
AACGCACCUUGCGCUCUCUGGUAUUCCGGAGAGCAUGUCUGUUUCAGUGUCAUGAACUCUUCAACCCACCAUUUUCCUUGUGGACUUGUGUGGAGCUUGGAUUUUGAGCGUCUUGCUAUUCGUUUAGCUCGCUCGUAAUACAUUAGCUUUUCCAAACCGAUCGCAACUCGGAUGACUUGGCGUAAUAGACUAUUCGCUGAGGAUCUACUUUAUUGUAGGCCGAAUUCAACUGGUUGUAGUAAGCUCAUAAAACAGUCUACUUUUUUAAGUGAUUAGACCUGAAAUCAGAUAGGAUUACCCGCUGAACUUAA